GCCAGGUGUGGUAGUGCACACCUGUAGUCCCAGCUACUGGGGAGGCUGAGGCAGGAGAAUCGCUUGAACCCAGGAGACGGAGGUUGCAGUGAGCCAAGAUGGUGCUACUGCACUCCAGCCUGGGUGACAAAGUGAGACCCUGUCUCAA
rnacentral:SRP_RNA from 1 species